GAGGGCUCUUUUUAAAAUUGCGUUUUACUGGCACAGCGGUGACUUAGCGUGGCCUUGGUCUCGGGUGUACAGCAGCGUGACGCGGUUACACACGCGCACACCCCGUCCGCUUCAGGCUCUUCCCCGCACGGGUCACUGCAGACACGGCGCGGGGUCCGGGUCUCUAGGCGGCUCCUCGGGCCCCAUCCCCUCCGCCAGAGCCGUGCGCACCCCGUUUUCAGCCUCUCCCAGCCUUUUCCCUUGGGUAACCCUAAGCUUGGUUUCGAAAUCUUUGAGUCUGAUUCCGUUUUGUUAACAAGUACCCCUGUAUCAUUCUUUAUUAGAUCCCACGUAUUUAUGACCCAAAAGGCUCUGUUUUCAGAACAUCCAAGGCUGAAAUGGCCCCGGGGCACCAGACGGCCGGCUGGGGCGAGGAUCCGGUCCGUUCACGUCGCUGCAGUGCGCCAGCAGCCCCGCAGGUGGCGCCAGCGGCACUCCUUUCGCCCCGGGAGUCAGGACGCGGCGAGGGAGCCGCUUUGCGGAGAAGGCGUGUGCGCGGUCCUAGGCCGUCCCUCUCCCGGCGGCUCGCUGGUUGUGAGCGAGAAGUGUAUGUAUGCAUAGUUAGGGGCGAAUCCUCGACUAGUAAACUUCUUGACGAUGUGGUCCAAAUAACGGCACCAGUGAGCAGCAGAUGGACAAACUGUGCGUCCAGAAGUGAUGCCCUUGAGAAGGACACACAUGCUGCACCCAGUGUCACAGUCCAGUCUAAAGACGGGGAAACGGCAGACAAACCCCAAAUGAGAACUGUCGUAUUAAAGUCGGGGGAUAGGGGACUGGAUUCUUUAAAAGUGUCCAUGUCACUAACGGCAGAAAACUAGGGAAAUGUUCCAUAGAAAAGAGGCUAAGGAGACAUGAAAACCAAGUGCAAAACCCGGGGCUAGACUGGGUCCCCAAAUGCAGGGGGGAGCCUCAGGGACAUGGUUAGGUCAGCUGACCCGACUGGAACAUGGGCAGGAGGCUGCAGUAUUGCAUCGAUGUUACAUACACCGCAGCUGAUAACUGCUGUGACUAGAUAGCAAGUUAUUCUUAUUUUAUAGAAUAUACUCUGGUGCGUUUAGGAAUAAAAGACCCUGGUGUGUAUGACUUACCUUCAAGUUGGGCACAAACUGUGUUUUUUUCUAAUUAAAUAUGUAAAAAUAUGUUCUAAUAGAAAAUCUAUGUACAUUUAUUGUAAUUUUCACUAUAUAUUGAUAUAUUUAAUUAGAAAAUACAUAUAUAUGUAUUUGAUACAAAUAAAGCAGAUGGAGUAAAAUCUUAGGUGAAUCAGGUAAAGAGGCUAUAUGGGUCUUCUUUCUGCUAUUUUUAUUUUUGCAAAUUUUCUUUAAGUUUGAAAUUAUUUCCAAAUGAAUAUUUAGGAAGAAAAAAAUGGUUUAAAGAAUGACGACUGGAGUUCCUGUCAUGGCUCAGCGGUAAUGAACCUGACUAGCAUCCAUGAGGACGCAGGUUCGAUCCCUAGUCUCGCUCAGUGGGUUAAGGAUCCAGCGUUGCCGUGAGCUGUGGUGUAGGUCGAAGAUACAGCUCAGGUCCUGCCUUGCUGUGGCUGUGGUGUAGGCCAGCAGCUGUCGCUCCAAUUCGACCUCUAGCCUGGGAACCUCCAUAUACUGAGGGUGUGGCCCUAAAAAGCCAAAAUAAAAAUAAAAAUAAUGAUGGUUCCAGGACCUUCUCCCCCCCCCGCUUCACUUCUGCAGCAGUUCAGAGCUGGUCUCCUGCCUUAUGUGUGUGUGUCUUCUGCUGUCCCUUUGCUUCAGUCUCUUCUGAAAGGACGAUGCUUUGGUUUCCGGGCUCUGAGGCCGAGACCUAAACUGGAGAAGGUGGAAUUAGCAUUGUUCGUGGCUGGAAAAAGGGACCGAAGCCUCCGUAAGGGGAUACGGAGAGCUCUGUGUCCAGCCUCCAUCCCGGCUCCGGCCUCAGGAGCUGAGCGGAUCUGUGGUGUCAGCCUGCUGCCAGCCGUCCGGCUCGGGCCAGGUGUCCCCUGGGACCCUAAAGAGGCAUCUGGUGUCCGAGAGCCCAGCUGGGCUGGCUGUGCCAGAGCCACCUUGGCAGAAUGGGGACUUCAUUAUCCUUUCGUUCUGCCUGCAGCUUCCUGGAAGUGACACUAUCCAGGAGCCUGACAUCUGCACACCCUAGUGUCCUCGGGAGUCCUUCCGCUGUUCCAGUGACUCACGCUGCAUUAAAUCAGCCGAACUGGCUGACAGCUUUGGUCAGGAAACCUGGACGCCUCUUGGCGGGAACGGCCGUCUUGCACUCGCAGCAGCACGUCGCAGGGAAGCGAGGCAGUCCCGCCCUGUGGUCAGGGGCGCAGACUCUGGACCGGAGCGCCCUGCACAGGACCCACGUUCCCAGCUGUGUGAUCGUGGGCCAGUCGCUCUAGCCCCCUGGACCACUGUUUCUUGGUAAAGUGAGGAUAAUAACAAUGCUUCUGUCAUGGAGCCGACGUGAGCACUGAUGCAGUUGAGAUACAGAAAGCGUUUGAAACAGCGAGUUAGUAGGACCUGUAUUUUAUGGAAACCAAGACACACAUAGAGCCCUUCACGAAGGUCUCAGCAGGAUAUGCAUACGCGUGCCGGGAGUGCUACCUGGCUGAAAACCAUAGUAACGUGAUCAGUGAUAAGAUGCAACCCAAUUUCAGAAAAGUUCAAAAGGUGAAAAAGUGGGUUUUAGAAUCCAUGGACUACAGAACAUUAUUUUAUUGCUUUUACUUUGUUUUUAAAAUUGAGGUAUAUUUCAUACACCCGAUAUUUCCUCUGUUCACGUCUGCUACCCAGUGAUUUUUAGUUUAUUCACAAGGCUGUUUAACCAUCACCACUGUCUCAUUUUAGAAUAUUUUUAUCACCGCCAGAAGAAACUCGAAAACUGUUAAGAGUCUCUUCCCAUUCCCUCUUCUCCCCAGUUCCUAGCAACUACCAGGCCACGUUCUCUCUGUACAGAUUUGCCUGUUCAGGACAUGCGCUCUGCAUGAAAUUACGUGACAUACAGCUUUUUGCGUCUGCCUUCUUUCACUUAGCAUGAUGUUUUCAAGCUUGGCCCAUGCCAUAGCAGGUAGCAGCCCCUCGUUCUCGUUUGGAGCCAAAUGCAGUUCCGCCGCGUGGAGGUGGAGGUGCCAUCUGUGGUUUCUCCAUUCCUCGUGUAAUGCCAUUUGGCUUGCUUCCGUUUUUGGCUGAUGUGAAUAAUGCUUCUGUGAGCAUUUGUGUGUGGGUUUUGUGUGGACAUGUGAUUUCAGUUCUCUUGGGUGUAUAUCCAGCAGUGGUCAUGUGAUUACUCUAUGUUUCAUUGCUUGAAGACCCGCAAGACAAUCGUCCGAGGCAGCUGUACCAUUUUUCAUCCCCACCAGCAGUGUCCGAAGGUGCCAGUUUUCCGCCUCAUCACCAGCGUUUGUUAUAAGGUUAUAGCCACUCUAGUGGGUGUGAAGUGGUACCCUAUUAUGGUUUUGAUUUGUGGUGCCCUAAUGACAAAUGGGGUUGCGCAUCUUUUUAUGUGCUUAUGGGCCAUAUUGUUAUCGUCUUUAGAAAAAUGUCUUAUCCAGUCCUUCGCCCAUUUUUAUAUUGGGUUGUCUUUUUCCUGUUGAGGUCUAGGAGUUUUUCGUCUAUUUUAGAUACUGACUCUCACCGUUUAUAAGACUGGCACAUACUUCCUCUCAUUCUGAGAGUGUCUUCAUUUUCCUGAUAGCGUCUUUGAAGCACAGAAGCUGUAAUUUGAUGAAGUCCAGUUGGUCUGCUUUUUCUUUGGUUGCUUUUGCUUCAGACACCGCGUCUAAGCAACCAUUGCCUGCCCCACGGUCAUGAAGAUGUAUAACUGUGUUUUUUGGAAGGUUUUAGCUCCUACGUUUAGGUCUUUGGUCCACUUUGAGUUAACUCUGGUUGAUGNNNNNNNNNNNNNNNNNNNNNNNNNNNNNNNNNNNNNNNNNNNNUCCUGCUCCUGCAAGUGGGUGUCCAGUUUUCCCAGCAUCAUUUGCUGAAGACGAUUCUUUCCCCAUUGAAUUGUCUUGGUACCCUUGUCAACUGCUCGGUGACGCAUGGAUUUACUUCUGGGCCCUCAGUUCUGUCCUGCUGUUCUGAGGGUCUAUCCUCAUGCUCGUACAGCAGUCUUUGUCGCUGUAGCUUUGUCAUAAGUCUCGAAACCAGCAAGUGUGAGUUCUUCAACUUAGUUCUCCUUUUCAAGGUUGUUUCGGAGUCCCUGCUGUGGCUCAGCAGGUUACGAACCCAACUAGUAUCCAUGAAGAUUCAGGUUCGAUCCCUGGCCUCGCUCAGUGGGUUAAGGAUUCUGCAGUACUGUGGCUGUGGCAUAGGCCAGCUAUAGCUCCUAUUCGGCCCCUAGCCUGGGAACUUCCAUAUGCCUCAAGUUUGGCCCUAAAAAGCACACACACACACACACACAAAUUGAGGCAAAACAUGAAUUUGGGAUCAGAUGGUCAGUUUCUACAAAGAAGUCAGCUAAGAUUUUGAUAAGAACUGCAGUAAUUUGUAGAUCAACUGGAGGAAUCGUGCCGUCCAAGCAGCUUUAAGUCUCCUGUCUGUGAACCGUUAAUUUGGCUUUGGUGUGCACUGGCUUCAUCUGACAGGUAGGCAGGGCCUGACGUGUGCAGUUGGUCAGGAAAACUGAGUUAACUGCCAGAUGCCGAUCUGAUUUUGAGCUGAGGGGAUAAGGCACAGUCUUACUUUUGUCAAGGUGGGAGAAAAACGGAAAGACCGAAUAGGUUGGUAGAGCCCACCGGGCAUCAAAGACCUCAUUAUCAUAAAAGUUACAUUUUACAUAAUACAGGAUAUGUCCCCCCACUUAAGACAUCUUAAUAUAACACAUAUUGAUUCUUAAAUCUCUGAAUUUAUCUUACAGGACAGAAAAAUUAUGGAGUGACUUUUUGUGGUGUAGAGUCUUUUGAAAGUCUUUUGAAUAAUAGAGAGAAAUAACAAUUAAUGUGUAAACCAACUGCUUCUCGACUUAAGAAAACUAAAGUCCGCCUCU
rnacentral:lncRNA from 1 species